rnacentral:rRNA from 1 species
GAAUAUUGGACAAUGGGGGGAACCCUGAUCCAGCCAUGCCGCGUGUGUGAAGAAGGCCUUUUGGUUGUAAAGCACUUUAAGCGAGGAGGAGGCUACCUGGAUUAAUACUAUAGGAUAGUGGACGUUACUCGCAGAAUCAGCACCGGCUAACCCUGGGCCAGCAGCCCCGGUAAUACAGAGGGUGCGAGCGUUAAUCGGAUUUACUGGGCGUAAAACGUGCGUAGGCGGCCAAUUAAGUCAAAUGUGAAAUACCCGAGCUUAACUUGGGAAUUGCAUUCGAUACUGGUUGGCUAGAGAAUGGGAGAGGAUGGUAGAAUUCCAGGUGUAGCGGUGAAAUGCGUAGAGAUCUGGAGGAAUACCGAUGGCGAAGGCAGCCAUCUGGCCUAAUACUGACGCUGAGGUACGAAAGCAUGGGGAGCAAACAG